rnacentral:rRNA from 1 species
UACGAAGGGGGCUAGCGUUGCUCGGAAUCACUGGGCGUAAAGCGCACGUAGGCGGAUCUUUAAGUCAGGGGUGAAAUCCCGGAGCUCAACUCCGGAACUGCCUUUGAUACUGAGGAUCUUGAGUCCGGGAGAGGUGAGUGGAACUGCGAGUGUAGAGGUGAAAUUCGUAGAUAUUCGCAAGAACACCAGUGGCGAAGGCGGCUCACUGGCCCGGUACUGACGCUGAGGUGCGAAAGCGUGGGGAGCUAACAGG